ACUAACAAGUCACAAUAUGUUUAGCUCUUUUAAGAAAUGAUUAUUUCUUUCUACCACGGCUAUAAAAUGGGGAAUUCCAACUUCAGCCACGAUGCGUGACUACAGGAAAUGAAUAAGACUGGAAAUAUUUGAUAUUUCUAUCUCAGUUUCUCAUAUCCUUGAGAUGGUUGAACAAGAUUGUUUUUAAAGUCCCUUCCAACUAUGUAGAGAACUGGAGCACAGGGAGGUCAAAUGACUUGUCCAAGGUCACACAGGUAAUAAGCAACAAUGGAGUAAUCUUUUCACUAAGAAGUACAUUGG